AACCGAGUCCACCAAGGCUGUUAAAAAUUUCGUAUACACGUAAACAUAUUUUUAGUUUGAAAAACACAGUCGUUCCUUGGCGUUAGCGGAGUUCAUCAUCACGAGGUGGUUCGACGUGAUGUGAACUCUAACCAUACCUCAGGAGAUACCUUACGCGCCUCUCCGAUCGAGGUACGUAUAUAACCGAAUUUCGUGCCCCUCUAAUAGGCUG
rnacentral:lncRNA from 1 species